rnacentral:lncRNA from 1 species
CACAGGUAUCUACAUGAGGACUUGUUUCGACCAAAAGUAAGUGUCUUCACCAGGGUGCUAGCUUCCUUGUAGAAGACUUCUCUUUGAUAGCUAAGGUUAUUCUCUCACAGAUCUCAUAGACUCUCUUGGGAACUAUGGAGAACGGGAGGAGGAAGAAAGAGGGCUAGUUUUUUCUUAUUUUUCUCUUUUUUUUUAAAGCAUCCAAGUAUUGGACCCUUUUUAUAAAGGGGCUAGGGAUUAGGGUUUGGAG